UUUGUUCUCUCUCUCUUGCCUCCCCUGAUUGGCCUGUUAUGCUGUUAAUCUGAAUCCUCUCUGAUUGUACUGCCCACAUAUAUAUAUAUAUAUAUAUAUAUAUAUGUGUGUGUUUAAUGUGUUUUCAAGAUUGAAGAUCUUAGAAGAAACCCCUAUACAAUUUAACUGAACGAAUACAUGAACGAAUGUUAUUACAUUUUAACAAAAGUGUUUUCAUUUUCAAUUUUCUUCUCAACAUAACAUUGUUGGUACAGAUAUUGAAUGCUGACAGGAGGAAUGAGGAAAAUACUCUUCUUCUUCUUUUUUUUCUUUCUUUUUUUUAUUGUAUUCAUUUUUUGUAUAUAUUCAUUUCUGAAUAUAGGUCACUUUUUCAAAAUUCUUCAAUGUCUACAAAUUACAUGAAUUCUUUUCUCACAUACCAACAGGCCAAUUUGCACUUGUUUACACUUUUCAAAACUUUUAAACUUGUUAGUCACGCCAGAGAAGUAACAGUAAACAGUAAAUCAGCACUCCUCCCACUACAGUACAACCCAAGCAAACUACCAGUCACCAAAAGAAGACCUUGAAACACGCAACAGAUCAGUCUUCAGCUGCUACACACAGGAGACAGACGUACAGAUCUUUCUUAUUACUUCAGGAGUGCAGGAAAAAAAACCCCACAAGAAACAUGGAUCCCAAAAAGUCUCCAACAGAAGGAGGGCAGGCUUUACUUCCACUUCAGCAGGUCCCUCCACAGUACUCCAGUCAUGGAUUCCCUCCAUCUGAGAUCUAUCCCAGCAAUUCAGGUCAACCUGCCCAGCAGUAUGGAGCUCCAGCAGCACCUGGUCAGUGCAUCCAAGUGCCAUAUCCAGGGCAGACUGUGGUCACUGUGCAGCCUCCAGUUAAUGUGUCCUUCACUCCACUGGCCAAUCCACAGCCAGAUCACCUGUGCUAUUCCAUCUUUACCAUGCUGUGCUGCUGCUUACCUCUGGGAUCGGCUGCUCUUGUUUACUCCAUCACAACUCGAGAUGCUAACAUGUUUGGACACCAACCAAUAGCAAGCAGGAACUCCAGAAUGGCUCGCAUCCUUAACCAUGUCAAUGUUGGUGUUGGCCUCUUCAUCUGGUUGAUCGUUGUCAUCUAUGUCAUUGUUGUUGUCGUUGUUGCAAAUGCUACCUCUUCCUAUUACAAUAACCGCUAUAGACCAUAAGUGUAAGAAAUAUCAUGGUAGGGCACCAGAAACUUUUAAAAACAUGAACACAUUAUGUUUUGAAUACACAGGCAUUUGGUGGUCUUCUUUUAAAUGUAGUGUUGCUCAACUUUUUGAUGGCCUGGUUUCUCAGAUUAAAUUACAGUUUUUUUUUUUCAACUGCUUACACACAUUUUCAAAACUUUGGUUCUUUUUUUCAAAACUUUACACACAAAUCCAAGAAUUGCACACACAAAAUGGAAAUUGCCUCACAUCUCUUGCAAAAUGAAGCACUGCUUUCAAACAUCUGUCUUAUGUUGCAAACACCUUUGCCAUAAUAUUCUAUUUUUGGAUAUAUCAUAUACACACAGUUAUUCAAAACCUAAAGUUCUUCUUUCAUGAGCUCCUAUUUAUAUUUCUGCACAAGAUUGAGAGUAAUUGGCAGACAGAUGUUGAAAAAAUGCACUUGAAACCAAACUAUAUAUUUUUUUACUUUAAGUAUUUGUGGUUGUGAAUACAAUAUUACACAGUAUUAAAGAAAAGAAAUACAUCAACCAUGUGUAGUUAUAUAGAAACAAUGGUUGUGUUUGAAAAAAGAAAUCAAGAUACUUCCUGUUAGAUUUUUGUGUGUUACAUAGAGAAUUGUGUGUUGUGUUUUUUACAAAAAGUGGUUUAUGAAAUUGAAAACUGAGUCAAGAAAUAGUGUCCGGUUUGCAGAUUUGGUGUGUGGUUCUGCUGUUUGAGCGUCACGAUUCAGAAAUAGUAAGGAUUUUGUGUGUAAGCAGUUGAAAAAAACUGCAAGCCAGGAUUAGGCCUUAGUUAAAUUAAGACAUUUAAGCAGCUUUUAGAAAUGUGCCUUUGAAAAAAAAAAAAAAACUUACUGGUGUGCAUCUUGAGACAAAACAAUGACAUCGACAUAUUAAGAUAUGUCAAUGCAGGUUACUUUCAGUUAAUACAGCUCAAACAUUCAUUUUAUUCUGGGACUAGGCUUAAAGGGUUAGUUCACCCAAAAAUGAAAAUUCUGUCAUUUAUUACUCACCGUUCCAGACAUGUAAGACCUUCGUUAAUCUUCAGAACCCAAAUUAAGAUAUUUUUGUUUAAAUCCGAUGGCUCCGUGAGGCUUAUAGGGAGCAAUGACAUUUCUUCUCUCAAGAUCCAUGAAGGUACUAAAAACAUAUUUAAAUCAGUUCAUGUGAGUACAGUGGUUCAAUAUUAAUAUUAUAAAGCGACGAGAAUAUUUUUGGUGCACCAAAAAAAAACAAAAUAACGAAUUAUUUAGUGAUGGCCGAUUUCAAAACACUGCUUCAGGAAGCUUCAAAAAUAUUCUCGUUGCUUUAUAAUAUUAAUAUUGAACCACUGUACUCACAUGAACUGAUUUAAAUAUGUUUUUAGUACCUUUAUGGAUCUUGAGAGAGGAAAUGUCAUUGCUCCCUAUGCAGGCCUCACGGAGCCAUCGGAUUUAAACAAAAAUAUCUCAAUUUGUGUUCCGUGUUGUGAGGAAUAAUUCAGAAUGUUUCAUAUAACUUACAUGUGUGCCUUAUUAUUAUUUACAUAAUUAAAACACAUGUUUUUUUAUUGUAUUCUUAAAACAUUGAAAGAUUUGACUGUAAAUGUAUCAUCAAUUAAAGCGUUUGUUUUCCUUCUUGUCUUAAUGUUACAUCAUAAAACUGAGUAAUCAAUAACAGAAAUGUAUUUACCAUUA